GACGAACGCUGGCGGCGUGCUUUACACAUGCAAGUCGAACGAUGAUGAGUGCUUGCACUUUGAUUAGUGGCGAACGGGUGAGUAACACGUGAGUAACCUGCCUCAGACUCUGGGAUAACUCCGGGAAACCGGGGCUAAUACUGGGUAUGACAUCUCCUCGCAUGUGGGGGCGUGGAAAGAUUUUUUGGUCUGGGAUGGGCUCGCGGCCUAUGAGCUUGUUGGUGGGGUGAUGGCCUACCAAGGCGAGGGCGGGUAGCCGGACUGUGAGGGUGACCGGCCACACUGGGACUGAAGCACGGCCCAGACUACUACGGGAGGCAGCAGUGGAGAAUAUUGCACAAUGGGCGCAAGCCUGAUGCAGCGCGGCCGCGUGAGGGAUGACGGCCUUCGGGUUGUAAACCUCUUUCAGCAGGGAAGAAGCGUAAGUGACGGUACCUGCAGAAGAAGCGCCGGCUAACUACGUGCCAGCCGCCGCCGUAA
rnacentral:rRNA from 1 species